rnacentral:rRNA from 1 species
GACGAACGCUGGCGGCGUGCUUAACACAUGCAAGUCGAACGGAAAGGCCCUGCUUUUGUGGGGUGCUCGAGUGGCGAACGGGUGAGUAACACGUGAGUAACCUGCCCUCGACUUUGGGAUAACUUCAGGAAACUGGGGCUAAUACCGGAUAGGAGCUCCUGCUGCAUGGUGGGGGUUGGAAAGUUUCGUCGGUUGGGGAUGGACUCGCGUCUUAUCAGCUUGUUGGUGGGGUAGUGUCUUACCAAGGCUUUGACGGGUAGCCGGCCUGAGAGGGUGAGCGGCCACAUUGGGACUGAGAUACGGCGCAGACUGCUACGGGAGGCAGCAGUGGGGAAUAUUGCACAAUGGGCGGAAGCCUGAUGCAGCAACGCCGCGUGCGGGAUGACGGCCUUCGGGUUGUAAACCGCGUUCGCCUGUGACGAAGCGUGAGUGACGGUAAUGGGUAAAGAAGCAUCGGCUAACUACGUG